UCUCUUUCUAUUCUGCAAAGACUGCCUCUGCAAAGUGAUACCUCCCUCUGUUGUCUACUUUUGGGUUGAAAGUCUCAAUCACUUGGUCAGGUGUCACCCAAGCUUUAUCUUCCAUCACAGCUGUUGACUGAUGCUCAGAGGACUGGUGUUCGGGACUUUCAGCAGACGUGAUUUCCGAGAGCAGAAAUGUAUGGACACCAGACUGUUCUGCCUUGGAGUAGAUUUUGUGACGCACUUUUCCCCAGGAGACUGGCUCCAUGUGAUGUACUGAUUGAGUGCCUGGAACAGCUGAGGAUGUUUCAUUUUAAUGUCCUCCACAAUCUUGGAGAGGAAGGUUGCCACAGACCUCUUGUGGUGUUCCAGGCUGUCGCUCACUAUGGCAUAUGACUCAGGAUCUCCAUCAGACCACAGGACUGAGGGAAACACUGUGACUUGCUUCUGAUGCCAGUGUGCCGACUGGAUCUGGUCUUGGUAGGCAGCGGUGUAAUUUUCGGCAAAAUCUACCAGCAG
rnacentral:lncRNA from 1 species